rnacentral:ncRNA from 1 species
CAAAAGCUUGGUCCUGACUUUAAUGUCAGCUUUGGUUAAAUUUAUACAUGCAAGUAUCCGCAUCCCUGUGAGAAUGCCCUACAUUACCCCCCCCCCGGGGAAAAGGAGCAGGCAUUAGGCACAACCCUAUGUUAGCCCACAACGUCUUGCUUAGCCACACCCCCAAGGGAACGCAGCAGUAAUAAACAUUAAGCCAUAAGUGAAAACUUGACUUAAUUAAACCAAGAGGGCCGGUAAAACUCGUGCCAGCCACCGCGGUUAUACGAGAGGCCCGAGUUGACGAACACCGGCGUAAAAUGUGGCUAUAUACAUUAUUGCACUAAAGCUAAACAUCUUCAAAGCUGUUAUACACACCCGAAGACAGGAGACCCCUCCACGAAAGUGGCUUUAAAUAAUAUUAGCCCACGAAAGCUAGGAAACAAACUGGGAUUAGAUACCCCACUAUGCCUAGCCUUAAACAAAAGCAACUCCAUACACUUUUUGCUUGCCAGGGAACUACAAGCCCCAGCUUAAAACCCAAAGGACUUGGCGGUGCUUUAGACCCCCCUAGAGGAGCCUGUUCUAGAACCGAUACCCCCCGUUAAACCUCACCCUCUCUUGUUUUUCCCGCCUAUAUACCGCCGUCGUCAGCUUACCCUGUGAAGGACACACCUGUGAAGGACACAUAGUGAGCAUAAUUGGUACAACCUAAAACGUCAGGUCGAGGUGUAGCAUACGAGAGGGGAAGAAAUGGGCUACAUUUACUGAACCAGUAAACACGGAUAAUGCCUUGACACAGACAUUUAAAGGAGGAUUUAGCAGUAAAGGGGGAAUAGAGCGCCCCUUUGAAACUGGCCCUGAAGCGCGCACACACCGCCCGUCACUCUCCCCCACAAUAUAAUAUUAACAUAAAUAAAAAAUAACUUCAAUAAAGGGGAGGCAAGUCGUAACAUGGUAAGUGUACCGGAAGGUGCGCUUGGGAAAAC